CAUAUCAAUAAGCGGAGGAAAAGAAACUAACAAGGAUUCCCCUAGUAACUGCGAGUGAAGCGGGAAAAGCUCAAAUUUAAAAUCUGGCAGUCUCUGGCUGUCCGAGUUGUAAUCUAGAGAAGUGUUAUCCGCGCUGGACCGUGUACAAGUCUCCUGGAAUGGAGCGUCAUAGAGGGUGAGAAUCCCGUCUUUGACACGGACUGCCAGGGCUUUGUGAUGCGCUCUCAAAGAGUCGAGUUGUUUGGGAAUGCAGCUCAAAAUGGGUGGUAAAUUCCAUCUAAAGCUAAAUAUUGGCGAGAGACCGAUAGCGAACAAGUACCGUGAGGGAAAGAUGAAAAGAACUUUGGAAAGAGAGUUAAACAGUACGUGAAAUUGCUGAAAGGGAAACGCUUGAAGUCAGUCGCGUUGGCCAGGGAUCAACCUUGCUUUUGCUUGGUGCACUUUCUGGUUGACGGGUCAGCAUCAAUUUUGACUAUUGGAAAAAGGUCAAGGGAAUGUGGCAUCUUCGGAUGUGUUAUAGCCCUUAGCUGCAUACAAUGGUUGGGAUUGAGGAACUCAGCACGCCGCAAGGCCGGGUUUUAACCACGUACGUGCUUAGGAUGCUGGCAUAAUGGCUUUAAUCGACCCGUCUUGAAACACGGACCAAGGAGUCUAACAUGCCUGCGAGUGUUUGGGUGGAAAACCCGAGCGCGCAAUGAAAGUGAAAGUUGAGAUCCCUGUCGUGGGGAGCAUCGACGCCCGGACCAGACCUUUUGUGACGGUCCCGCGGUAGAGCAUGUAUGUUGGGACCCGAAAGAUGGUGAACUAUGCCUGAAUAGGGUGAAGCCAGAGGAAACUCUGGUGGAGGCUCGUAGCGAUUCUGACGUGCAAAUCGAUCGUCAAAUUUGGGUAUAGGGGCGAAAGACUAAUCGAACCAUCUAGUAGCUGGUUCCUGCC
rnacentral:rRNA from 1 species